rnacentral:lncRNA from 1 species
CUCCAUAAUACCCCUUAAGAAAGCAUCCAUCUAACCCAAUCAAUGGAGAUGAUGAUGAUUUUGGAGGGGUGACAAUGGAGAACGUUUUAGCGGGAAGGAGAAGAGUUAAGGAUGUUUUUGAUGUUUCUGAGUAAAAUGUGAAGAAGGAGGAAUAUGUAAUGCAGGGGCAAAAUGGGAAAAGCACGAAAAAAUUAAAUUGAAAAAUGAAAAGUGAACUUUUUCCAAAUCAAUCAAAUUCGUCCCUGAACACGUGGCUUCCUUCUUGCCACGCGUACAAGACAGCACAGCAUGCAAGGCAACAUGUCAGCAUGGCUAACGGAGCCCGUUAACGGAGGGACCUUUUUGAUGGACGUCUUAUAAAUUCAGGGAUUAAAUUGAUAUUUC